AGAGUUUGAUCCUGGCUCAGGACGAACGCUGGCGGCGUGCUUAACACAUGCAAGUCGAACGGAAAGGCCCUGCUUUUGUGGGGUGCUCGAGUGGCGAACGGGUGAGUAACACGUGAGUAACCUGCCCUUGACUUUGGGAUAACUUCAGGAAACUGGGGCUAAUACCGGAUAGGAGCUCCUGCUGCAUGGUGGGGGUUGGAAAGUUUCGGCGGUUGGGGAUGGACUCGCGGCUUAUCAGCUUGUUGGUGGGGUAGUGGCUUACCAAGGCUUUGACGGGUAGCCGGCCUGAGAGGGUGACCGGCCACAUUGGGACUGAGAUACGGCCCAGACUCCUACGGGAGGCAGCAGUGGGGAAUAUUGCACAAUGGGCGGAAGCCUGAUGCAGCAACGCCGCGUGCGGGAUGACGGCCUUCGGGUUGUAAACCGCUUUCGCCUGUGACGAAGCGUGAGUGACGGUAAUGGGUAAAGAAGCACCGGCUAACUACGUGCCAGCAGCCGCGGUGAUACGUAGGGUGCGAGCGUUGUCCGGAUUUAUUGGGCGUAAAGGGCUCGUAGGUGGCUGAUCGCGUCGGAAGUGUAAUCUUGGGGCUUAACCCUGAGCGUGCUUUCGAUACGGGUUGACUUGAGGAAGGUAGGGGAGAAUGGAAUUCCUGGUGGAGCGGUGGAAUGCGCAGAUAUCAGGAGGAACACCAGUGGCGAAGGCGGUUCUCUGGGCCUUUCCUGACGCUGAAGAGCGAAAGCGCGGGGAGCGAACAGGCUUAGAUACCCUGGUGGUCCACGCUGUAAACGGUGGGUACUAGGUGUGGGGUCCAUUCCACGGGUUCCGUGCCGUAGCUAACGCUUUAAGUACCCCGCCUGGGGAGUACGGCCGCAAGGCUAAAACUCAAAGGAAUUGACGGGGCCCCGCACAAGCGGCGGAGCAUGCGGAUUAAUUCGAUGCAACGCGUAGAACCUUACCUGGGUUUGACAUGGAUCGGGAGUGCUCAGAGAUGGGUGUGCCUCUUUUGGGGUCGGUUCACAGGUGGUGCAUGGCUGUCGUCAGCUCGUGUCGUGAGAUGUUGGGUUAAGUCCCGCAACGAGCGCAACCCUUGUUCACUGUUGCCAGCACGUUAUGGUGGGGACUCAGUGGAGACCGCCGGGGUCAACUCGGAGGAAGGUGGGGAUGACGUCAAGUCAUCAUGCCCCUUAUGUCCAGGGCUUCACGCAUGCUACAAUGGCUGGUACAGAGAGUGGCGAGCCUGUGAGGGUGAGCGAAUCUCGGAAAGCCGGUCUCAGUUCGGAUUGGGGUCUGCAACUCAACCUCAUGAAGUCGGAGUCGCUAGUAAUCGCAGAUCAGCAACGCUGCGGUGAAUACGUUCCCGGGGCUUGUACACACCGCCCGUCAAGUCAUGAAAGUUGGUAACACCCGAAGCCGGUGGCCUAACCGUUGUGGGGGAGCCGUCGAAGGUGGGACUGGUGAUUAGGACUAAGUCGUAACAAGGUAACCAAG
rnacentral:rRNA from 1 species